rnacentral:sRNA from 1 species
GAGACCAGUUUCCAGUGAGCUCCCGAGGAUAUUCAGGUCUGUGCUUCUGCCUGACUGAGGAUCAUCUAGGAAAUGAAACUAAACUUGGCUUUGACCUAGACCUUGUGUGACCUUGAGGUCAUCAUCCUCUCACAGUCACCCUAGAGAAUCCUUUACUUACCUAUGCUGAAAAAAAUGCUCCCAUCAGUUACCCUAUGAUUAGGUCUCCAGCCCUUUCAUCAGAAGACAGAGCUUUAAAAUGCAGGUCACCAGUACUGGCCCCAUCCGCAGCGGAUUAUUUCUUCCUUCCUAAAAAUCCAGGCUGCUUCUUGCCAUGCAGAGACAAUGAGCUCCUUAACCAAGGGUGAAAAAGACUAACCAAGUCAAAACAAA